rnacentral:rRNA from 1 species
UACGUAGGGUGCGAGCGUUAAUCGGAAUUACUGGGCGUAAAGCGUGCGCAGGCGGUUUUGUAAGCCAGAUGUGAAAUCCCCGGGCUUAACCUGGGAAUGGCAUUUGGGACUGCAAGGCUCGAGUGCGGCAGAGGAGACUGGAAUUCCUGGUGUAGCAGUGAAAUGCGUAGAUAUCAGGAGGAACAUCGAUGGCGAAGGCAGGUCUCUGGGCUGACACUGACGCUCAUGCACGAAAGCGUGGGGAGCAAACGGG